GAUGAACGCUGACAGAAUGCUUAACACAUGCAGGUCGAUGGGGAAGUGGUGCUUGCACCAUGGCAACCAUGGCGGACGGGUGAGUAACGCGUAAGGGACUUACCUGCAGGACUGGGAUAACAGGGGGAAACUCCUGACAAGACCGGAUAAUGUCAUGGAGCUGCAUGGCUUUAUGAUGAAAGGAGACGCCUGCGGAGAGCCUUGCGUCCUAUUAGCUAGUUGGUGAGGUAAUGGCUCACCAAGGCGAAGAUAGGUAGCCGGCCUGAGAGGGUGGACGGCCAUAAGGGGACUGAGAUACGGCCCUUACUCCUACGGGAGGCAGCAGUGGGGAAUAUUGGACAAUGGGGGCAACCCUGAUCCAGCAAUUCUGUGUGCACGAAGAAGGUUUUCGGAUUGUAAAGUGCUUUCAGCAGGGAAGAAGUAAGUGACGGUACCUGCAGAAGAAGCGACGGCUAAAUACGUG
rnacentral:rRNA from 1 species